rnacentral:rRNA from 1 species
UACGGGGGGGGCAAGCGUUGUUCGGAAUUACUGGGCGUAAAGCGCACGUAGGCGGCUUUGUAAGUUAGAGGUGAAAGCCCGGGGCUCAACUCCGGAAUUGCCUUUAAGACUGCAUCGCUUGAAUCCGGGAGAGGUGAGUGGAAUUCCGAGUGUAGAGGUGAAAUUCGUAGAUAUUCGCAAGAACACCAGUGGCGAAGGCGGCUCACUGGCUCGGUACUGACGCUGAGGUGCGAAAGCGUGGGGAGCAAACAGG